UAGGGAAUAUUGGACAAUGGGCGCAAGCCUGAUCCAGCCAUGCCGCGUGCAGGAUGACGGUCCUAUGGAUUGUAAACUGCUUUUUGUACAGGAAGAAACAGUUCUACGUGUAGAACCUUGACGGUACUGUAAGAAUAAGGAUCGGCUAACUCCGUGCCAGCAGCCGCGGUAAUACGGAGGAUCCAAGCGUUAUCCGGAAUCAUUGGGUUUAAAGGGUCCGUAGGCGGUUAGAUAAGUCAGUGGUGAAAGCCCAUCGCUCAACGGUGGAACGGCCAUUGAUACUGUCUGACUUGAAUUAUUAGGAAGUAACUAGAAUAUGUAGUGUAGCGGUGAAAUGCUUAGAGAUUACAUGGAAUACCAAUUGCGAAGGCAGGUUACUACUAAUGGAUUGACGCUGAUGGACGAAAGCGUGGGUAGCGAACAGGAUUAGAUACCCACGUAGUCCCUGAGCGGGCUGGCAAGGCGCAU
rnacentral:rRNA from 1 species